rnacentral:rRNA from 1 species
AGAGAGAGACAUGCGCGCAUAUCAAUAAGCGGAGGAAAAGAAACUAACAAGGAUUCCCCUAGUAACGGCGAGUGAAGCGGGAAGAGCUCAAAUUUGAAAUCUUAAAGGGUUUCCCUUUACGAAUUGUAGUUUAAAGAAGUGUUUACUGUUGAGGUUUUGGUAAAAGUUCUUUGGAAUAGGACAUCAUAGAGGGUGAGAAUCCCGUAUUUGACCUUUACUUUCAACUUUGUGAUACACUUUCAAAGAGUCGGAUUGUUUGGGAAUGCAGUCCAAAAUGGGUGGUAAAUUUCAUCUAAAGCUAAAUAUUGGCGAGAGACCGAUAGCGAACAAGUACCGUGAGGGAAAGAUGAAAAGAACUUUGAAAAGAGAGUUAAACAGUACGUGAAAUUGUCAAAAGGGAAGCGUUUGACACCAGUGUUGUUUUUCUGAAAAUCAAUUAAAGAACUGUUUAUGCUAAGCUGUUUAGACUUUAUCAGCUAUCUGUUUAGUUUUGAGCUUUUCUUUAAUGCACUUUUCAGUUAACAAGUCAACAUCAAUUUCUUUUGCUGUAAAAAAGCUUGAGGAAGGUGGCUUGAGAUUCGUCUUAAGUGUUUAUAGCCUCUUGCCUAUGCAGUCGGAGAGAUUGAGGUCUGCAGCGUAGAUCCUUCGGGGCUAAAUGCAUUUGUGCUAAGUUAUAACAUUUUAUAGACAACUUGUUGACUAUGAUUUGUCUUGUAGCUUACUCGCUUAUGUUAUUUUACCUACGCUUAGGAUGUUGACGCAUGAGAUAUACGC